AGGACACGUGGAAACGCAACCGCCAGGAGGAAAGGCGGGACACAGCGGGAAGGGAGGUUUGCCUCCCCUCUCUUCCUGUGGUGACCCCCACCUCACUUACAAAAAUCACCACCGACGUUUGGGAACCGUGCACGCCGACUGAAAGCAAAGCUCAGCUGACCUGCGAGGAGUCCCCGGGGAGCUGCCGCGGUGGUCGCCGUUGAGUCCGUCCGUGCCGCUGGGGCCGAGGCAGCUGGAGAUGUGGUCAACGGGCUGAUGGGCACGGCUGUGGGACCCCAUCAUUCCCCUGCCCCGCAUGACUCUGCUCUCCCAGCUCGACUGCUCACUUCAGACUUCCCUUAUGGAAGGAGUUGCCAGAUAGAGCAAGUAAAAUACAGUGUGCCAGACACAGGUUUAUUUCAACACUGGGAAGGCUCCAUUCCUACUUAAACCCAGCAGGGAACAGGGAGCGGUGUGCAGAGGAGGUGGCCUGCCCGGGAAGCCGGCCUUGGUGCUGGGACUGCAGGGAGAGGGCUGUGAGGAAGAGCACAGGCUUCAUGCACAUUGCACAGAGGAGGAGAUUCAUGGGGACAGCAGGCACUGGUUAGGCACAGCGGGAAGGUUAUCGAAGACAAAACACAUUUCUACCCAAGUUUAAAUGACCUGCUAUGCCCACAGAGCUUGAUCCAGAAGUGCACAGGUAAGUAUUUAGCAGGCUGGCCGAUGUUGAUUUGAACAAUCUCAAGAAUGUGCUCUUUAGUGCAUUAAACAUAUGUGACGAGAGCUGAGCACGUUUAAAAUCUCAGUAACUUUGGGGUUUGUAAGUGUUGUAGCUCAUAGUGUCGGUUAAGGUUAGACAUCUCAGUCACAUGCUGUCUUGGCACCAGCUGUGGACUGUGCUGUGAAAGAGAUCUGUGACCUUGCACCCUGAGAUCUCAGGCUCAAUUAAGAGACAAAACAGGCAAUGCAGUAUCAGUGCAGAUGGGAAAGAGAAAGCAGAAAGUAUGAAGAGGGAAAGGAGGAGCACAAAGGAGUUAGCAUUAGUCUCUACUGAGCAAUUCCUAUUCCAACCACGUCCUAAAUGAUGAGUUGGAUCCUAGCAGAAAGGGAACACAUGUUAUUUUUAACUGAUUUUAACUUGAUUUAUUGUAACCUAUCAGGAGCUCUUAAUAAAUAUGGCUCUUUAUGUUGUUA
rnacentral:lncRNA from 1 species